rnacentral:rRNA from 1 species
GAUGAACGCUGGCGGCGUGCUUAACACAUGCAAGUCGAACGGAAAGGCCCUGCUUUUGUGGGGUGCUCGAGUGGCGAACGGGUGAGUAACCCGUGAGUAACCUGCCCUUGACUUUGGGAUAACUUCAGGCAACUGGGGCUAAUACCUGCUAGGAGCUCCUGCUGCUUGGUGGGGUUUGGAACGUUUCGGCGGUUGUGGAUGGACUCGCGGCUUAUCAGCUUGUUGGUGGGGGAGUUGCUUACCAAGGCUUUGACGGAUAGCCGACCUGAGAGGGGGACCGGCGACAUGGGGACUGAGGGACGGAGCAGACGCGAACGGGAGACAGCAGGCGGGAAUAUGGCACAGUGGGCGGAAGUGUGAUGAAGAGACGCCGGGAGUGGGAAGACGGCCUUGGGGGGAGAAACCGCAGUCACCUGUGACGAAGCGGGAGUGACGGUAAUAGGUAAAGAAGCACCGGCUAACUACGUG